rnacentral:rRNA from 1 species
AACGAACGCUGGCGGCGUGGAUAAGACAUGCAAGUCGAACGAUUAUCACCGGGUAGCAAUAUUCGGUGGUGAGAGUGGCGCAAGGGUGCGUAACACGUGGGUAAUUUGCCGUAAAGUCCGGGAUAACUUGCUGAAAGGCGAGCUAAUACCGGAUGUGAUUGCUGGGGGCAUCCUCUGGCACUUAAAGUCGGGGACCGUAAGGCCUGACACUUUUCGAUAAGCCCGCGGCCUAUCAGCUAGUUGGUGAGGUAACGGCUCACCAAGGCUAAGACGGGUAGCUGGUCUGAGAGGACGACCAGCCUCACUGGAACUGAGACACGGUCCAGACACCUACGGGUGGCAGCAGUCGAGAAUUUUUCUCAAUGGGAAACCCUGAAGGAGCGACGCCGCGUGGGGAUGAAUGGCUUCGGCCCCGUAAACCCUGUCAUUUGCGAUCAAACCUUACGACCUAACACGUCGUAAGCUGAUAGUAGCGG